rnacentral:tRNA from 1 species
GCCGGGGUAGCUCAGUUGGUUAGAGUGCCAGUUUGUGGAACUGGAUGUCGCGGGUUCGAGCCCCGCCCCCGGUA